UGCCGUUGGGCCCGAUUUGCAUGCUUGGUGGAAUGAAGAGCUGGGAGUGUAUGUGGUCAAAAUACAGUGUACACAAGUAUGAAAUUCUCAAAGAAUAAAUUAAAAUGCUCCAAAGAAUGACGGGCUCUUUUCACAGCCAACUCCCGCACUUCGGACAAUAUUCCCCAGAGGUCUCGGGGCAGUGCGUAGUGCAGAGCGUGCAGAGCGUGCAGCGUUGCAUUCUGGGAGGCACAAUUUUUUUUUUUUUUAAGAGGUUUUACCUGGCAGCCAUCAGGGUUCACUUUAAACCCUGCCUCGGGGUCUGGUGCCGGGAAUAGGAGAGGAAAGCGGUCUCUGGACGGAAAAUUGUUCAGUCCUCAGAUGAUAUCUGGACCGGUCUUCCGUGGGGACUCUAUGCAAAGGAGAGGAUCUUGAAAGGAAAAAAACCAAGCAAGAUGAACUCCUGGAGAGAUGGGAGACAUGAGACUCUAACUCAAGAAAAAAAGAAAAUGGACUGGAGCAGCCUGGAGGCAUAUGAGACACAAACUGAAUGAUGAGACCCUACCACCUCCCAGGAUGGACGUCUCUGCUGUGAAUACCUGGAUAACUGGUACAUUCUCACCUGGGAUUGUGGUUGCUUGAUGUGAGCUCUCUGUGGGGAAAAUGAGGUCAGGCUGUGUGAGCAUCUCUGUAGAGUAGUGAGCAACUAUAAAGUGUAUGCACGUGGACUCUGGCCUGGCUGUGUCUCCUUAACUAUGAAUUAUGUCCCGGUGCCAUCUCGGCAGGUGUCAGCAGGAGAGUUGGCUUCUGAAGUGAAUACUGGACACCACAUAGCACUCUGUUGUCGCAGCGCUCAGGUCCCUCCUGCCUGAGCUGACUUCGUUUGCAGUGGCCUCCACAGUUUCUGAAGUGA